CGGCACCAGGUGACGCAGGGGCCGCGCCGGAGCCUGCCGCCCGCCCUCUACCCGUGUUUAUUUGUAUGUUGAGCCCUUCUUUCUGGCACUUUCUCUCCCGGUCUCCUAGCUGUCCGUUUGAUGGAGCUUAUGGUUAUGUGAAAACGAAAUAAAAUCCCGGCGCUCGGCAGCUAGUCGUGUCGGUGCGGAGUUGUUAGAGCCGCCGGGGCGCGGGGCUGGCAGAGUCAGGUGCAGCUCGCCAGCCGUGUGUGCGCGCCGCUCUGCUCUUCCUGCAGCCUUGCUGCCGUUAAAUAAGGAAUAAAAACGCUUUGAAGGCAAAAGCCGCGGUGUAAUGGCAGCUACAGCUUUAGCAGGGGGCACGCGUUGUGCCAGAGCGAGGACGUGCCGCCUCUUUCUGUGGGACUGCGGCAUUGAGAGAUGUGCCCGAUUCCUUUUUCCCAACUGAACGGGCUGCUGCUCCGCGGCUGCCAGCGCCGCGUGUGCUGGGAGUCGCCGUGCCGGGUAACUGUGUGGCUUUGAGAGCUCGGUGCGGCUGCAGAGCGAAACAAACCGGGGCGAGGACGGGGAUCUGAGCUCCAGCGAGGAAGGAAGGCGGGAAGAUCGGGGCUGCGAUAAACAGCGCUGAAAAAUGGCAGGAGAACAAUGUUUACUUUUGAAUAUAUGGCCCUCUGCCAGCCUGGCGCUGGUUUUUAGGUUAACAGAGGUUGGAGGAAGGGCCAGACCGAGGCGUGGCUAGCUGCUGUCAAGGAUAAAAAAGUCUGCAAAUUGCUGUCCUCAGCUUUUUUUCCUCUCCUCCACCCCCAGCCCCCCCCCGACGGAAAAAAGGCAGCGCUUGCUCUUAGGGCUAUUAAAAAUGAUGCAGAAUUUUAACCAUCUGCUGCACCAGGUACUCCACACUGGUACUACGGAUCUGUGUUUUCGCAGAGGGAAGACCUGCAGAGCUUUCAAAUUGCAAAACUGCAUUUAAGCGUUUAAAUAUUUCAUGAAAUAGCACCCUUAAAGCCAGAUUCCUUUUAAUUGCGAAUUGAGAAAUAGGUUUUAGCAAAAUCGAAGCAUUUUCCAUCCUUAACGUGCUGCCAGGGAGGGGGGAGUUCUAAAAGGGGCACAGGUGUAUUGCUGAGGACAUGGUGCCGGCGCUGCAGAAAUGCUGUCACUGCAAGCACUGUAAGGCUCCAGAAACGGCCAGAGAUAGAAACUGAGUAUUUUGUAGCCUUGCGUUUUCUCCUAAGGGCUUUUGACUGAAGUGUGCGAGACAUAACUGCGUGUGGAGAGUCAUCUCUUGCACUUGACCAGCUGCUUGUGUACGUAUCGGAGCAAUAUUACCUAAUGAAUAACAUGGAGAUUGGAGAAGAAACCGGGCUGCCAACAUGGCCUCGUGAACUAUUGCCUGGCUUAGAAUGCAUUUCAUGGUCAGUGGAAAAAAAUGAGGAAGAGGAGGGUGUGGCUGCCGCUUAGAGAAUUUGGCUGUGCAGGCAGGGACUGGCUUUGGGGUUGUGAUCCUUCAACCUCAGAGAAAGAAGACUUCUCUUAGUGUCUCAGCCUGGAUGUAGCCCAGAUGUGUGAAAUACGCAGCAGCAGAAUUUGAGUUUUCAAGUGAAAUAGCUCUUCCUUGUCUGAACCAUCCUUCAGAAUGCAAUAUUAGAGGUUUCCUACCGCAUCAUCUUCAGGACUCCCAGAAAAUUCUUCUGCAACUUGUGGCUGCCUGGAAAAAGAUGAUGCAGUAGUCUGGCAAAAUGAACUCAAGAAACAAGAAGAAGACAGUAGAGGCUGAUCUGCAAGUUGUUCAGAGCACUCACAGCCAUCUAAGGAGCUGGGGAUAAAGCUGGCUCUUUCCUGACUUCCACUGGAGAAAAGUGAAAAGGCAACAUCUGAAGAAGGCACUGUCAAACUCCCAAUGAUCCCAGGAGAACUGAGUUAGAUCCUGGGAUCUGAGCAAGCCAGAGGUGAGGCUACCAUGAGGGUGAAACUCAUUCGAGUGCGAAGAGGUUCACUGAUAAGAUGCAAACCAGAAUCUGCCUGUUGGUAGUCUUUCCAGAUACGAUUCAGAGCUAAUAGGGGAGACUGAGAAGUACCAUGACUCCAAACAGAAUCAUUUUGAAUGGCACGAGAUGAACUAGCACAUUUCAGAAUAAGUUAAAUAGAGAACAAAGUAUUAUGUCGCUGGAUGACUAGAAGAAGAGGAGCUGAUUUCUGACCACAAAAGAAAAAUAAAGAAUUGCUAAGACUAUAGCUUUGAGUAAAAUAAGCCUGACUGUUUUAGUUCUAAGAGAAAUGACCUAGGGGGAGCCAAGUUACAAGAUGAACUAAUGAAGUUAGAAGAGGAAAGAAGUGAAGAUUGGUCAUCUAUGCAAAGAAAAUGACAAGAUGCUGGGAAAUAGGAAAGUCAGUGUUUUCAUAUGCCUGGUUUUUAAGUUCGUAAAGGGAGAGGUAAGUUUUUUUGGACAGUGGCCUCAAGUCUGCUUGCUCUGUUGGCUUUGUCUCCCAUGGAUCCUGGCCUCAUCCCAUUUUCCCAUUGGGAUCUGCCGAAUGUUGUUUCUGCCCUCAAGAGCUGGGAAGCACAGCUCAGGGUGAGAUCCUGUUGCUGCUGCUCCCACAGAUGUCCGUGUCACGCCUGGCAGCCAGCUUAGGCUGGGCAGAAAGCCCACCAGGGCCAGCACAGCAAAUCAACUGAUUAGGGGUGCCCCCUGAGCUGUAGUAUGAUGGGAUAAUAACAACAGAAAGAGAAAGCUGGUGCUGUGAAUGGCCCUCUGAGAAAAUAUACAGAGAAGCUGCUGUCUGCUUUUUCACUUGCUGUCACUCAACUUAUAAUUGUUUCAGUGUGCACUGAAAUGAAGUUGAAACAUGCGUUUUCUCUUUCUGCAUCCCCAUAUUGAUUUUGCUAAGAGCAGUGGAAGAUCCCAUCAGUUGUCCUGAAACAUGACCUACCUACUUUGGGCUCACACCUUUUCAAUCUCAAGUGGAUUUUGGCUGUCUGACAGCUCUGACCAAUGGCUGGGGAGGAAUCUGCAGUUGGCUGGGCUGAGAGGCUUUGCCAUUAACAGGAAGGCAUCCAGCAAUCCAAAUGUGCACCUGCUCCUGCUAGCUUCCAGAGCGAUGCUGUCUCCAGUUCUCUGAUAUAUUGCACUGCAAGCUCUUCCCAAAGCAAGAGAAGUCAGAGCAGGUCAGGCCUUGGAUGCUCCUUGGAAAUUUCACUGGCCGAUCAUCCACAUCUUAAACACCUUAUCUUUGGAGGUCUGGACUCUCAUGGGGCAUAAGACAGGAAUCUGAACUGAUGGCCAACAAGAAACUAUUCCAACAGUUGCAACAGUUUGCAGUGUCUCAAAGUGUUGCCCCAGAAAGUUGUGGCUCAGGUCUUCUGAGAUACCCGAUAUCCUCCAGAAUGGUAUUGAAGGAAUUAGAGCGAGUGAUGUAAUAUUUCAGGAAGGGGAGAUGUAUGUCCUCCUGGAAUCCACUUGUUCUCCACCUCUCUGUUUUCCAACCGAUUACAUAAUUCCUCAUGCUUGUGUCCUCACAGUAUGUGCUGCAAAUAGUGACAUCAAAGCCAAUAUAUUUUGCAAAUGCUAACAUUGCAGCAGGCAUUGCAGAAUAAUGACUUUAUCAAUCCCUACUUACGGUGUACUUUGAAUAUACUGUGUCAUUAAUAACAGAACAUCUGCCAAAACCUCUCACAGUCUGAACAUUACCUCCUAUUUUUUUCAAUAGUAUGAUAAUAUCUCAUCAGAAGAUCCUAUGUAUUUGCUAAGUGGAGUUUCACUCAGUUUAGUCUUUGAUUAUUGAUGAUGUGGAAAAGGUGAGCGGGGAACAACUGCGUGCUGCCUCAUGCAGUAAGAGACCCAGGGAAUGGCAGGUACAAAAUGCUCAAAAAGAGAUUUUUUCUUCACAAGCUGUUAUGAUUAAAAUGGUGGAGAUACUGCUUUCUGUUGAGUACACCGUGGUCCCCCUGGCAAGGUCAACAGCAGCAGCUUAAAGAGCAGUGUAAGAGAGAUGUGUUAAUGGCUACAGCAGGCAUAGCACUCUUGACGCAGCUCAGGAUGGCUCAUCCAAGGGUUAUAGGCUAAUUUUGAGAAGUGGCUUUUUCAUUUUAGUUUAAAAGUUGUAAAAGGCUUUGUGUGUGUUUAGGUGCUUUUCCUUUUGAUAUGGUUGUUUUGCAAUAGUGACUUGGCUGGAAAAGAGGGUUUUUGGAGAUGAACAUGGUGAAGAUAAAUCUCAAAGCUACUGCCAUUUGGGAGGCAUUCCUACUUUGUUUAGAAAAUAGACUUGCUGCUAAAAACUAAAAGCCAUCUCGAGUUGACAUCAGACAGCAAGGGGUGAAAGUGCCUUGUACAUUAUGCUUCCGUACCUGUAAGAAUUCAGGCACUUUUAUACAAGAGUCAUGAAGAUGUUCCUCUGGUUCUGUUCUUUCUGUCAGGAGCCUCUUGUUCGUGCACUUUGUUUGUACACUCAAUUACAACCAUUCCCUGGGACACAUAAUUCAAAUUCUGUAAUAGAAUGGAUGUACAAAGUCAUAGCUUAAACUGUAUUGCAGCAGCACUUCUUGCUGCUGUUAUGUACAGUUAAAUAAUAAAAGGUCAAAAUACUCUAAUAAUAAAAGGUCAAAAAUGCACUAACAUAAAAGAGGCAUUUGAUGUCUUUUUCUGUAGAAUGGGGAUGAUAUUCUUUGCUUAUAUUCCAAGACUUGCUGUAAAUUUAAGGACAGAAAAACUGGAGAUUUGCUUUAGUAUUGCUAAGAUGGAUUUUGAUGACUUUUGAUGACAAUUAACCAGUGAGAUACUGAUUAAUUAUCAAACAGCAACUGAAGGGGCUGAACCUUUUAUUCUUUCUGUUGCUGUACACCUAACAGUUGGAGGUGAAUGCAGCCUUUUGUUUCCUACACAACAAAAGGUUCAAAUAUAAACCACGCUACUGAUAAAAUAAGAACAGAAAUUAUGGGUCAGUUCUGAACUUUGAAAAUGCUCAUUUUUCUUUUGCUGGUAAAUCUAGAUUCUCAUCGCGGGGGAAAAACCCAAACUCUUAAUACAGCUUUAGUUUUCUACUUUAUAGCUACAAGCAGAAAACAGCCAUGAAUCAAUAACGGGGGCCUGUAAACACUCUUCUGGCUCUGUAGCCUACUUAAUGUCAACCAAGAGCUGCAGUAAACCACAAUUCCCCAGCUGCAAUAAAUGCUACAGGCUCCAGAGCAGAGCACAAAGUUUAAUUAAAAGUAAACUGAUACAUAUAAAUCCGCUGAUGCAAUCUCUCACUCUUGCAUCUGAAAUAUAUAUGGGCCUCUUCCUGGAGAUAUUGGAUGAUUUAGAUUUCAAUUUCACUUAAGAAGCCUCUCAAAUAAUACUAUCCAGUGAGUCUCUGUGCACACUGAAUAAACACAUCCUGUUAACUAAGUGUGUUGAUCUCCCUUUGCUUUAUAUGCCGAGUGUAACAGCUAUUGAGUUAUUUGGCUAAUUUGAGAGACUUGGCAACACUUUCCUGUGCUCUAAAUAGCCAGAUAUCUCUGAACUUUCAGGAGUAACUACAUUUGGCAGUUAAUAGAUGGCAGCACUGCUGUAAUAUAUUAUCUUUUGGCUAUAAGUAAGCUCAGCAGCUUUUGAGGAUGUCUCACUGGUGCUUCAGCAUCAGACAGACUCUGCUCAUGUUAGAUGUGUUUGACAAGAUGUUCUGUAGAUGUUUAAUGACAGCCCCCAGUUGAUUUGUGUCCUGAGUCUGUCCUGUCCAUUGCCUUUCUCCCCUCCCUGUGCACCGUGGCUGCCUUAUGGAAUCAGUAAAGUCUGAGUCAAACAGCCCCUUUGGAGAUCACCUGGUCCAAACCACAGUUGGAAACAGAGACUUAGGUUAGGUUAUCCUGGAUACUGUCAAGCAAAGUCUAGAAUAUUUUCAGUGAGAAAAGUGCACAUCUUUCUUAUCUGAGGAUGCAAUAGAGUCCUGUUCAUGCCUCAUGAACAGGAUGGUCUCUCUGGAGUAUGUAACCAUACAGAGUUUUUGCUGGUAUGCCAUCCAUUCAUGCAUUUAUAAACAAAAGUGAGACAUGGAGUCUUUGUGCCCAAAACUUUUCUUGAAUUGUUGCAUCUGUGGCCAAUAUGCAUCUGUCUGGAUCAGUAGAGAUAGAUCUUGCAUUCAUGAAUGUUGUAAGAAACCUCCUGAAGCUUAUUGAAUUAGGCGUAUCCCAGUCAGCUAUUGUUAGACUUUAAGAGACAUUUUGCAGUUAGAGGAGGCUUUUGAAAUAGAGAGAGAGAGAGA